CAAAAUCCGAUUUCUCAAGCUGGCUGCCAAAAGCUGUGGAUUAAAAGCCAGAGUUUUUAUAAGGUCCACCUUUGAAAUUUCAAGAGAGCUGAAAAACUCAAGCUUUGGCAAAAGGGUUUUCUCAGGAUCAGCUGAAAGAAGUUUUGGAUGUGACCUAAUAAGCUUUGAUAUCUGGGUUUGAGAUGCUCCAUAGUUUCUCAGAAGCUCUAAAACGGAGUCUGCUCUUUCUGGUGACUUCAACUCGACCCACUUAGAAGCUGAAAUCGCUCCUUCUGGGGACAACCCGCAAGUGUUUAUGAGGUAAGUGACUGUGAAAUUGUGUUGGUUUUCUGAGAUUUCUGAUGUGAUGUGUCUGCAGAGCAACUGACUCUGAAGUGAGGGUUUUGGAUCUCCAACCAACACUCUGUUUGUUUUGGAAGCAAAUGUACAAGAAAAUAUUGAGUGAACCAAUCUGAAGGUCUUCAAAUUGCAGAGUUGAAUCAUGCUAGAGGUUGAUGAUGAACAAUUUCUACAUGAAAACUUAAAGCCCAAGCUGAUUCUCUGCCUUCAGAAAAUAUGCAGUUCUCGGCAUUCUAAAAAGAUUUGAACCAUCCAAAUAAAAUUGCCUGGUAUAGGAUAAAACCAUUGCGGCUAGGGUAAGUUUUCUUACCAUUUUCACAGCUGACGGUCACUGGCUCACUGCUGCUAUCCGUGGUGGUAGGAAAUCUUCUGCCAGAAAAACCUCUUCAGUCUUCAUCGCUACAAAUCAAAGCAAAGAAAUUACUCCAAUCCCAGGCAAUAAGAAAACCCAAAAAAAAAGGGUUGAAUUUCAAACUAAAAAACAGUCGAGGGCAUUUGUUUCUUUGGGACAAAGGGCGAAGAAACAUUUGGGCGAUGAUGCUUUGGUUUAUAGACGCUCUACGUGGUUACUCUCAGGUGCGGCCCAGAAGCAAUUUGAAAGCCUGUAUUUGCAAUUGGAAUUUCGAUGUA
rnacentral:lncRNA from 1 species